rnacentral:lncRNA from 1 species
GGUUGUGGGGAGGGGCGAGCUCGGGCCUGGGACGCCUGGAGUCUGGGGGCACGAGAGCCUCGUACCAGUCUGGAUACUUGCGGGGCGAGGGCCACUGGUGUCCGGGCCGCCGCCGCCCCCUUCCUCUGCAGUCUGCCUACAACAGCUGCUUGGGACACUGAGGACCCCAGGGCCGGGACCCCCUGGACCGACUGACUCAUCCACAGACUGACCCAUAAAUAUCUGGGGGCGGAUGCAAACCACACACAACUUUCAGAGCUAACACCAGUGCCCCAGAGCCCAACCUGGCUCAAGCCCCCGCCGCCUGCCGCCGCUGCCCCUUUGCAGCUGUGAACUAAUCUGGGUUUACUUCAUUCGGGGUGUGGGGUCUACUUGGGUAGGACGCCGGCCCCGCCCCGCCUCCGCUCAGUGCCCCAGCAGGUGGAGCACUCCAGUGAUGUCACCCUCCCGCCCCUUUUCCGCAUUUUUCUCUUUGACUACAGGUAGGGCAGGCAUAGGCUGGCUUGCUUCCAGGAGCCGGCCUGAGCCUCACCCCACCUCCCAAACAAGGGGCUGGUCUGUGCUGGGGUGGUGGGAUGCCCCUGUCUCCCCAGGCAGGAGCUUGGCUGAAGACCCAGCCGGUGCCAGGGCUGUGGAGGUCUGGGAUCGGCCUCCUACUCAGGCCCAGGCUGAGAACCCAGAGUAGGGCUUCCUCCCCGGGACAGGGCCAUCUGGGUCAUGCUGUCCCUCCCUCAGCCUCUGUCCUGUCGACCACCCGUACUUGGCACCGACAGUGCGCCUGGCAGAGGGACCCACACAGGAGAGAGCAGUUGAGCAAGCGUACAGAAAUGCAAUUGAUGUUUAUAGCAGCAAUGUCCGCAACAGCCGACCUCUGGAAGAGCCCCAGUGUCCCCCGACAGACCAGUGGAUAAAGAGGAUGUGGUCUGUAUAUGCACCACGGACUGUUCUGCAGACAUCAGAACAUGAAGUCUUGCCAUUUACAGCGACGUGGAUGGAACUGCAGGGUUAUGCGGAGCCAAAUAACUCGGUCAGAGAAAGACCAUGAUCAUAUGACGUCACUUGUGUGUGGAAUUUCAGAAAUGAAACAAAGUUGCACAGGGGAAGGAAGGGAAAAUAAAACAAGGCGAGAUCAGAGAGGAGACGAGCCACAAGACUCUUACCUCUAAGAAACAAACUGAGGGAUGUUGGAGGGGAAUAGGAUGGGGGGGUGUAGGAUGGGGGGGUGGGGUAACUGGGUAAUUAAGGACACCUGGUGGAAUGAGCACUGGGUGGUAUAUGCAACUGACGAACCAUCACCUCUACCUCUGAAACUAACGAUUCGCUAUAUGUUAAUUAACUGAAUUUAUUUUACUUUUUUUUUUUNN